GUGUGAGAGAAAAAGUAAAUAACUGAAUUGCAUACAUACUAUAUCCUGCCUGUUUCCUUUUUGAUACAUCAUAGGGUCCCCCCACUCCUUUUUAUAGAGGAGGUACAGAUUCUCCUUGGACAAACCUAAUCAAAACUUCAGCUAGCAGAUUACUAAACUUUGCUUAAUGAAGUGCCACCCAGACAUGCCUGUGUUUUCACGUCCUGGCUGAGUUCAGCGAACUGUUUAUUAAUAGACUUGGCUUAUCCCGUCCUGACCCCAAGACACUGAGGCCUCUGUCUGAACCAGGCUCAUGAGUUUCUCCCUAGCCUCUCUCAGGAACCGGAGUACUUCUGGUAAAGAAGUUUGUGCUCUUUCAUGGAACUUCCAUUUACCAACCUGGAAAUGGCAUUCAUUUUAUUAGCUUUUGUUAUCUUUUCUUUCUUUACCCUGGCUUCCAUCUACACUAAUCCCAAUGAGAGGAAUGAAGCUUCUACCAGAUUUUUCCGAAGCCAACAGCGGAUAUAUUAACCUAUUCCAAAGAGAUAGUCACACUUAUCAUCCCACAAACUGCUCUUUUCAAGGUAAACGAUGACCUUCACACUACUUUGUGCAGUAAAAUACAUACACAAAUAUUGUUCUACA
rnacentral:lncRNA from 1 species